rnacentral:rRNA from 1 species
GACGAACGCUGGCGGCAUGCCUAAUACAUGCAAGUCGAGCGAACCAAUUCGGUGGUGAGCGGCGAACGGGUGAGUAACACGUAGGUGAUCUGCCCAUCAGACGGGGACCACGAUUGGAAACGAUCGCUAAUACCGGAUAGGACGAAAGUUUAAAGGUGCUUCUGGCAACGCUGCGGGACGAGCAUGCGGCGCAUUAGCUAGUAGGUAGGGUAAAGGCCGACCAAGGCGACGAUGCGUAGCCGACCCGAGAGGGUGAACGGCCACACUGGGACUGAGACACGGCCCAGACUCCUACGGGAGGCAGCAGUAGGGAAUCUUGGGCAAUGGGCGAAAGCCUGACCGAGCAACGCCGCGUGAAUGAUGAAGGCCUUCGGGUUGUAAAAUUCUGUUAGAAGGGAAGAACGAGUUUAGUAGGAAAUGGCUAGAGUGUGACGGUACCUUAUGAGAAAGCCACGGCUAACUACGUGCCAGCCGCCGCAGUAA